rnacentral:rRNA from 1 species
UACGUAGGUGGCGAGCGUUGUCCGGAAUUACUGGGUGUAAAGGGCGUGUAGGCGGGAAUGCAAGUCAGAUGUGAAAUACCAAGGCUUAACCUUGGGGCUGCAUCUGAAACUGCGUUUCUUGAGUGUCGGAGAGGAAAGUGGAAUUCCUAGUGUAGCGGUGAAAUGCGUAGAUAUUAGGAGGAACACCAGUGGCGAAGGCGACUUUCUGGACGAUAACUGACGCUGAGGCGCGAAAGCGUGGGGAGCAAACAGG